AUUUUCCAUAAAAUAAUUUUGCUGUAAUAAUUUAUUUAUUAAUUGGGAAGUUUUGUAACAGCUCACAAAACCAUGUUUUAAACCCCAUCUUUAAGGUGAUGAUUUUUGAUGUAACAGGCUGAAUAUUUCUCCUCUAAACUGAUGCCUAAAGUAUAUUAUAGCAAAGCAUUUCCAUUCCAUUAAGUAUAGCCUCUGGGACAGCUUCAACUACAGCAGAUAGCCCAAAAGUACAAACCAGUGUUGCAGAACAGUUCAAAUAGUGUAUAUAUUUGAAAAUGUCAGGGGAAUAUAGGUACAUAGGCUAUAACUAUUCCAAAUUGGAAUUUGUGGCAGGCACUGAAAUUUAUGGCCCCAUUGUUAAAUAUUGUGUGAGUUUUUAAGUGUUGACUGGUUCAUUUUACAGGCAUUCUGAGUGAUAAAGUAAAAACACAUAGGUUCUCUCAACUGCUUCCCUAUACAAAGAAGUACAGCAUUAAACAGAGUGCUGAUUUUGUUCCAUGCUACAGUUAACAACUCUGCUUUUCAGUCUGCCACUUACAUAUUUGUUGGCCAUUCUCCUUUGGAUUGUGAGUUCUCAGUGUCCUUAGUGUUUCUUAAGAAAGGAGAAAGGCAUCUGUCAGAUUUUUAUCAGGUAUUCCAUGUUCAGUUUUGCUGCUUAUUCAAGCUAGAAUUUUAGUCAGUCUGUUCGGUAUCUGUUGCUUAAAAGGCUUUAUGUUUUUGCAGUUCUUUGUAUUUUCAUUUCUCUCCAGGGAAAGUUCCAUAUUAUACUUCAGGAUUCCUACAGAAGUCUUUAAAAAAUGCUUUGCGGAGGAGGUCAUCCUUUAUGAAACAUGAAGGUUUUUUCAAAUGAAUUGGAUUGACUAAUACUGAAAGCAGUGUUCUCAAAUUUUUCAAGUAAUUUCAGGGGGAAUAUUUAAGUGUCCUUUGUAAGUAAAGUUUCAGAAGCACAGACUUAAGUAUGAUCACAUUCCAGAAUGUGAUUGUAACACUUAAUAUUUGAGACUGUGUAACACUGACCUAUGAGAAACUAAUAGCAGAGAAACUUCCUGCCUGAAGCAGAACUGGGGGGUAGAGGUGGUUUGUGUUCAGACAUCAGUGCAUGUGUUAUGUAAUGCAUGUAAAUUCAAUGGUGAGCCAUAGGAAUGCCAUUCAAAAAAAACUAUUAUUACCUCCUUUACUAGUGUUGGGACAAUGUCAGAUACAAAUAUAUAUAUAGAUACUGCUGACAAAUGUUGUUCUUAAUGUGAGGUUUUAAAUGUACUAGCAUACAUAGGACCAAAAGUUAGCAUUUAAUUGUGUGGUAUUCCAAAUGAAUGAUCUUUGUUUUUCUUCUUUUUCAUGUCAACUUCUUUUCAUGUCAAUUUCUUUUUUCAUGGGUAAAAUAGGAGCCCAGUACAAAAAGAAUGAGAACACAAAUUCAGAAGAAGUUAAAUUUACAAAAGCUCAAAUGUAGUUUCUGUUAUUUUAAAGUCUUUGUGCUAAUGUUUUGAUUGAGAUUGGAAAGUGCCCAUGCUUAUAUAAAGUGUAAUUCUUGCGUACUUUUACAAUAUCCUUUGUUGGGUGGUUUAUGGAAUUAGAGCCUGAGCCAGGAUAUCUGGGCUAGGAAAACCUAGGCGUUUAUGCCAAGUUUCUAAACCACCAAAGCAUCCUGGUUCUGACAGCAACUGUUUUUCACAAUCACCUCAGUAUCUAUUUUUAAAUGUUGGAAUUUUAACCAAGUUUGUUGGGAAAAGGAGCAAUACUUUUUUCUUACUGCAUCAUCACCUUUCAAUGCACAGCUGUAUUAACAAAACACAAAUUUCCAUUAGAUAUUUCACUAUCAAUCAAGAAAAGAGUAUAGUGCUGCCAGCAGAGCUCUCCUUGGCUUACAAGAGUAUUGGAAUAGUCUGAUUAUAGACACUGUUGUAAUGCCCUAAAUGAUCUCAGAAUAGGAAACUUAUUUAAAAAAGCAUUGAAAACAAACUUGAAAGAGGGAAGGCAUAUGCCAGGGGAGAAAAAGAAAUUGCAUUCUUCACAGAAUGAGAGGGGGCACUGAAGUGAUUGCAGAAGAAAACAAGAAAUACUUAAAAUCCCACAUGGAAUGGGAGCAGGACAGUGACUGUAAUGAGGUUAUCUGAUCUCCUUAGAACCUUGAAAGUGAAGAGAAAAGGUGCUGGAUCUAAAGGUAGAAGAUUACAGGGGGAUAGGAGAGGUGGGAAGGAGCACUAGAAUGACAGAGGAAAAAAAACAUAACUUUUUUUAAAUGCAGACUGGAACAAAUAUGAGUUACAGCACAGGAGAAAGUUAACCUAGUUGACAAAAUGAUAGCAGAAUCUUAAGCUUAGCUACAAAAGGGAAGCAAAAAAAAUACAAGUUGACAGCAUUCUGAAAAUGGAGAGUAGAUCCUCUCAUCCUAAGAAUCUGUGCUUGUUAAAUAUGUAAUAUUUAUUAAGUAAUUAAAAUUGACUUGAUGUGCCCUUUUGGAGAACUUGGGAGAUUGCAUAAGUUAAUGCCUAGUAUCUGCAGAGAACUAGAGGUCUGUUUGCCUUAAAAUGCUAUCUUCUGAUUUUGUGCUUUCUUCCUGUUUUGAUUUGCUUCCCCAUUUUCAGUGUCUGUUUAAUCUGUGGUGUUCCCAUAGCUGGGAGGAGGUUGCUGUCGUUUAAUACAAUGGUUUACCUUCAGUCAAAUAUAAUUUCUCUACUCUUCCUGGUUUCAACUGUCCUCAUUUUGACCACCUGAUACUGUCCCAGACUCUACAACAAAGCACUGUAUGAAAUCGGCACUGCUCUGAAACUGUCUUCAGAAACGUGCUACUUCAUUGUCCAGAAAA